GUAAGGUCUUUUAGAUGUGGAUUUUGACUAUGCAUUUCUUUUAAGGUGUGCGAUUUCUAUGUUUGUGUCGUCACUGGUAUAUUCUCGUUGCUCUUCCUCUAUGAUUAAUAUAAGAUUCAGUGGUGUAGCUUCAGUAUUGAGAAGUUCUGCCGUCUCUUGGUCUACAACCUACAAAUUUCCUGAUUACAUGGAAAGGGAUUGAUGAGCUUAUAAUCAAUCAUGGUCGGUCAUUGAGAAAUGGAUUGCCAAACGUUUCUCUUUGUUGGCUGCUCGUGCUGAAGUUGUGUCCUUUCUUGCCUUCUUUUGACGAAUCAGUGGUAAGUGUGGUUGGGGCUUGUGUUUCAAUGGAGAAACCGUGUUAGAAGAUUGGCUUUUAACCCCAUUAAUUUAGGCAUGCAUCGUUUUCUCGAUAAAGUUUAAAAGAAUUUAGGUUUUACGCCUAAAUCGAAGUUUUCCAGAAGUCUUCUAGGGGAAGUCUUCUCAUGUAUUAGAUCUUAAAAAUUAUUAAUGAAUUUAAUAAAAAAACAUUUUGAAAGAAAAAAAAUCAAAAUCAUGUAUUAAUAAACAUUUAUAAAUGAUGGAAAUUUAGUUUUACUAAAAUUGAAUUAUGUUUAACAUAGAUGAGUGAAUGUAGAUUGAGUCAUGAUAGCCUUUGGUUUAAGGUUUGGUAACAUAUGUGAUAGCAUUGUUGGUAUUUUUAGGGUUAUAUUUUGAAAUCUUAUUUUUUUUUUAGUUUGACAUAUAUGUGUUUAGUGACUAUUUAAUUACUUUAUUUAAACAUUUUCUAAGUUUCUUUUAAUUUUAAGGAAGUGUUUGUCCUUAGUUAUUUGAUUAUAGGGUCUGAAAGGCGCUGAGAACACUUUGGUUUAGGGUUUAGUAACAUAUGUUAUAGUAUUGUUUGUAUUUAGGGUUAGAUUUUAAAAUAUUAACUUAAAAAAAUUGACCUACAUGUGUUUAGUUUUGUGUAUAUUAAAUGCUUUAUAAGUUGAUUUUAAGUUUAAUGAAUUGUUUUUUUGCUAUUUAGUUACUUAUUUGAUUAAGCUAUGGUUUGGAAAACUUCUAGAAAACUUCCCAAGAAGACUUUCAUAAGACUUCUGACAUAUUACCGCCUAAAUUUUGGUAAAAUUUAGG
rnacentral:lncRNA from 1 species